UACGGAGGGGGCUAGCGUUGUUCGGAAUUACUGGGCGUAAAGCGCGCGUAGGCGGAUUGUUAAGUCAGAGGUGAAAUCCCAAGGCUCAACCUUGGAAUAGCCUUUGAUACUGGCAAUCUGGAGUCCGGAAGAGGUGAGUGGAAUUCCGAGUGUAGAGGUGAAAUUCGUAGAUAUUCGGAGGAACACCAGAGGCGAAGGCGGCUCACUGGUCCGGAACUGACGCUGAGGCGCGAAAGCGUGGGGAGCAAACAGG
rnacentral:misc_RNA from 1 species